GACGAAGUAGAUCAGUAGAUAAACGUCAGUUUCGAUUGUACCUCGCCGUUGAAGAACUUCUCUGAGCGUUUUUACCCGAGAAAAAUCACAAAACUUGAAAUAAACAGUUUCUUAAGAUAGUUUAGGCCUAUUCUAGGUGGGCAGCAUGAAGGCUGCCGCAGUGCAGGGCAGCGGCGCGUACGCCUCCCUGUCCAGGGGGGCCACGGAGAACGUGUACCGCCCCACCACGGGCACGGUGGCCGUCCCGGGGCUGCUGGACGGCCUGAAAAGGGUCUUGGGGCUGAGCGUUGCCGCAACACCAGUCAGGGAGAAGAGGGAACCGCUUCUGGAACAGGUGGGUGGUACCGGAAGAAGAGCCGUGGUCGUGGCAGCAAGCAGGACGCAAGUGGAGACCCUUGGAGCCAGCAACAAAAUGCCAACUUCCGGUAUUGCCGAGGAGGCGGCCCUUUUGGGUACGAUGCCUUCAGAUUCCAUGGACGACAUCGAGUUGAAAAACAUCAAAUUACAAUUUCCCAGCGCUAGAUCCAUGUCAAGAGAGGAUUCCAACGCUCAAGAAGAGGUGGUAGAGACUGAUCGUGGAAAUAUUGUCGUUGCAGUGCAAGGAAAUAGGAAUAAGCCAGCCAUAUUGACUUACCACGAUUUGGGAUUGAAUUACCUGUCUAAUUUCCAAGCUUUCUUUAACUACAUCGAUAUGAGAGCCCUGGUGGAAAACUUUUGCGUGUACCAUGUCACUGCUCCAGGCCAAGAAGAAGGUGCUGGGAUAUUUCCAGAAGAUUAUGUUUAUCCUUCGAUGGACGAGCUGGCUGAACAAAUUAGCCAAGUGACCAGACAUUUUAAUUUGAAGCAGUUUAUUGGAUUUGGAGUGGGAGCUGGUGCGAAUAUUUUGUGCAGAUAUACGCUAAAUCAUCCCGAAAUGGUUUCCGCGCUUUGCUUGAUCAAUUGCGUCAGCACUCAACCAGGUUGGAUCGAAUGGGGCUACCAGAAACUGAACACCAGACACCUCAGAUCUAAAGGCAUGACCCAGGGAGUACUGGACUACCUCAUGUGGCACCACUUCGGAAGGAAUACGGAGGAACGUAAUCACGACCUGGUGCAAGUAUACAAAUCCUACUUCGAGCGGAACGUGAAUCCCACCAAUCUCGCCCUGUUCAUCGACAGUUACGUGAAGAGGAACGAUUUGAACAUUCACAGGGAUCCGGACCCGAACAAACGGAACAGCUCGACGCUGAAAGUGCCCGUGAUCAAUAUCACGGCCGCUUACAGUCCCCAUGCCGACGAUACCGUUACUUUCAACGGACGUCUGGACCCCACAAACUCAUCGUGGAUGAAGAUAUCGGACUGCGGAAUGGUUCUAGAAGAACAGCCCGGCAAAGUGAGCGAAGCCUUCAGACUGUUCUUGCAAGGCGAAGGUUAUGCGGUGCACGUGAGGCGACGAUCUAGCUGUAUGAGUGUGAGUUCGUUAGGGUCUCGAAAAUAAAUCAUCCUAGGCUUUAAGGUCACCUUAGGUUAAGGUCGUUAGUACGGACCUUUGCGUUAUCCCUUCUCAUUGGCGCCGUUGUCCCCGGUCAAGAUGGCGCUGUUCCGGAAACAGUCGCUGGAAGAACUGUUCCGGUCCCGGCUCCACAGCACCGGCCAGUGUUUACAGGGCGUUAUUAAUAUCACCGAAAACCCCAUUUCGGCA
rnacentral:misc_RNA from 1 species